AAUCGACUCCUUUAGUGGAUCGCCAUGGAUUCAUUCCGUUUGAAAGAAUCGACUCCUUAAAUGAACCCGAGCUGAUUCAGUCCAGUCGUCUGUUUCAGUUUGUUUGUCGCCUGUUGAGAGUCGGAACGCGUACGAUCGCCUCAGCAAUGGCAGUUCGGGUGUGUCGCCGUGGUAACCGCUUGGCUCUGCACAUGCUCAGUAGGAGCGUGUCUCACACCAGCGUGUCCAUCGAGACUCUCGGCGAGCUGGACUCACACACACGUGCGCCGUUCUCCCGCUCCGCCAUCGGGACGUUCUUCCAGGAGCGACCCCUGCUCACCAACCCAUUUACCCAGGAUGCACUGCUCCGAGCCUACCUGCAGCGCCACCUGCCUGUGCGGGAGGUGCACGGAGACCUGCAGCGCUUCGGCGAGCGUCUGGUGUCCGAGAUCGAGGCGCUGGGCCGCCAGUGUGAGCUCAACCCGCCUGUCCUGCAGCGCUACGACGCGUGGGGGAGACGCGUGGACCGCAUCGUCACCUGUGACGCCUGGACGCGCCUGAGACACAUCUCUGCGCAGGAGGGGCUGGUGGCGGCGGGAUACGAGAGGACGUACGGAGAGUGGAGUCGUGUGUAUCAGAUGAGUAAGAUGUACCUGUUUGCUCCGUCGGCUGGACUCUACACCUGCCCGCUGGCCAUGACGGAUGGAGCUGCUAAAGUCAUCGAGUCUUUAGGUAUGCCGGCCAGAGAAGCGUUUGAGCGUCUGACUUCGCGUGAUGAGAAGAGAUUCUGGACGUCAGGACAGUGGAUGACCGAGAGGAGAGGAGGAUCUGAUGUCUCGAGUGGUACGGAGACGGUUGCCAGGCGACAGCAGGGCGACUGGUUCAAGCUGUAUGGCUUUAAAUGGUUCACGUCGGCCACAGAUGCUGAUAUGACGCUCACGCUGGCCCGCGUCACAGAUGAACACGGACACACCACACCGGGCAGCAGGGGUCUGUCUCUGUUCCUGGCGGACGUCUGGGACUCUGACGGCUCGUCUAACGGGAUUGAGGUUCAGAGGCUGAAGGAUAAGCUGGGUACGCGGCAGAUGCCGACGGCGGAGCUGCUGCUGGACGGCAUGAACGCGCGUCUGCUGUCAGAGGAGGGGCGCGGCGUGGCCUCCAUCGCCAACAUGCUGACCAUCACUCGCAUUUACAAUACCGUGUGUGCGGUGGCCGCCAUGAGGAGGAUCGUUCAUCUGUGCAGGGAAUAUGCAUGUAAGCGCUCUGCGUUUGGGAAGCUGCUGAAAGAUCAUGCGCUGCACGUGCAAACACUCAGCAGGAUGGAGGUGGAGACUCGCGCUGCGUUUCUGCUGGUGAUGGAAGUGUGUCGUCUGUUGGGCCGCGAGGAGAACCGGAGCGCCAGUGAGAGAGAAACACUCCUGCUGAGACUGCUGACGCCCGUCGCCAAACUCUACACCGCUAAACAGGCGGUGUCUGUGGUGUCCGAGGGUCUGGAGUCUUUCGGCGGUCAGGGUUACAUCGAGGACACUGGGCUUCCCUCCAUGCUGCGCGACGCUCAGGUGUUGAGUAUUUGGGAGGGAACCACGAAUGUUUUGUCUCUGGAUGUUCUGCGCUCUAUUUCGAAGUCCUCUGGGUCGGUUCUCCAGGCGUUCUUCAGUGACACUGAAGAGCGUCUGCUGGCAGCUGAAGCGUCUCCCGCUCUGCGUCCGGCGCUAACAUCUCUCCGUACGUCUCUCUCGGCUUUGAUGCAUUUCUGUCAGACAGCGGCAGCGUCUCGACCCGCGGGAUAUCUGGAGCUGUCAGCGAGAGACCUGGCCUACAGCCUCGCACGUGUCUACAUGGGAGCGCUGCUGGUGGAUCACGCCGCAUGGGAGCACGCCACACACACCGACGUCUACGCGGCUCUGAGGUGGUGUGAUCAGGAUUUGUGUCCAGUGGUCAGUCGAGACGCUGCAGGUUGUUUUGACCCACAGACGACAGCAAUGGAUUCAGCGCUGGUGUACGACGGCCUGAAGCCUUAAACACACACACACACACACACACACUCUCACACACACACAUUAUAUUGAUUGUGACGCUCCGCUGAGGCUCGAGUUCAUCAAGCAUUUGAUCGCAAAGAGAUCGUGCAGUGGUCGAGGUAAUUGUUUGUGCGACUACAGCGAUUGAUUAUGAUUAGUGCCACAUCACGACAGGGACGAGCGCGAGUCGUUCAGACGCUCGUGACGGACAGUACCGCUGCUCAUGUUCUGUUAUAUGAGCCUCAAGAUCAAUAAACACCCUCAUCAGCCUCCUCUUCCUCCGGUAAAGUUCAUGUGUGUGCGCGACCUUCUGCAGCUCUUUCAGAUGAUCUGACCUUUCAGAGCGCCUGCCUCUGACCUUUGACCUGCCGUUAGCGUACAGACGCUUCAUCAUACUGCUGGUGUUCUGAGCGUCUCUCUCUUCAGGACCCAACGUGACAUGAAUCGCUUAAAACAGGAGCUUUCAAAGAGAACUAGAGCGAGCUUUACAAGAAAACACUACUUCAGUUUCCCACCUGAUCUCACAGGAGAAUUAAACUAUGUUACAAGAGGAGAUUUCGCAUGGAUUUGUACGAAUUAUCCACCAGUUCGCCAAAACAAAAAGUAGUUACGAACUGCUGCAAGACUGUUAAAAUUUCACAUUUAAUUCAGUGUUACUUGCCGAGUGAAAAUAGUCUCUACACCAAAUCUAUUUGUUUUAUGUUUUUGACACAUUUUUCCUCUGCGAAUCUCAUAUUAAUGAAUCUCCUGAACUGCGUAAGACGACAUACUAAGCUACUCAACUAUCAGGCUGAAUUAAGAGAAAGUGUUGUGGAGUUUGGAUGAUGUUCCUCAGAGAAAUUACGCGCACAAUAAAGGCACUGAAUCAUU